CUACGUAGGGUGCAAGCGUUAAUCGGAAUUACUGGGCGUAAAGCGUGCGCAGGCGGUUUUGUAAGACAGUGGUGAAAUCCCCGGGCUCAACCUGGGAACUGCCAUUGUGACUGCAAGGCUGGAGUGCGGCAGAGGGGGAUGGAAUUCCGCGUGUAGCAGUGAAAUGCGUAGAUAUGCGGAGGAACACCGAUGGCGAAGGCAAUCCCCUGGGCCUGCACUGACGCUCAUGCACGAAAGCGUGGGGAGCAAACAGGAUUAGAUACCCUGGUAGUCCACGCCCUAAACGAUGUCAACUGGUUGUUGGGGAUUUAUUUUCUCAGUAACGAAGCUAACGCGUGAAGUUGACCGCCUGGGGAGUACGGCCGCAAGGUUAAAACUCAAAUGAAUUGACGGGG
rnacentral:rRNA from 1 species